AGAUGAAUAGUUUAUCGGUCUGGGCAUGGAUGUUCUUAUUUGGACAUCUUGUUUGGGCUACUGGAUUUAUGUUCUUAAUUUUCUGGCAUGGAUAUUGACAAGAAUUGAUUGAACACACACUUUUGGCCAAUUUGAUCUGAUGGAGAGAUAAACUUGUGGCUCUUUUCAUUGUCUAAGAAAGAUUGGUUGGAUUAGCCCUUUUUUUUGUAGGUUAUAUAUUCACUAAUGGU
rnacentral:lncRNA from 1 species